rnacentral:rRNA from 1 species
AGUGAACGCUGGCGGUAGGCCUAACACAUGCAAGUCGAACGGCAGCACAGGAGAGCUUGUUCUCUGGGUGGCGAGUGGCGGACGGGUGAGGAAUACAUCGGAAUCUACUCUGUCGUGGGGGAUAACGUAGGGAAACUUACGCUAAUACCGCAUACGACCUACGGGUGAAAGCAGGGGACCUUCGGGCCUUGCGCGAUUGAAUGAGCCGAUGUCGGAUUAGCUAGUUGGCGGGGUAAAGGCCCACCAAGGCGACGAUCCGUAGCUGGUCUGGGAGGAUGAUCAGCCACACUGGAACUGAGACACGGUCCAGACUCCUACGGGAGGCAGCAGUGGGGAAUAUUGGACAAUGGGCGCAAGCCUGAUCCAGCCAUACCGCGUGGGUGAAGAAGGCCUUCGGGUUGUAAAGCCCUUUUGUUGGGAAAGAAAUCCAGCUGGCUAAUACCCGGUUGGGAUGACGGUACCCAAAGAAUAAGCACCGGCUAACUUCGUGCCAGCCGCCGUAAAAC